UACGGGGGGAGCAAGCGUUGUUCGGAUUUACUGGGCGUAAAGGGCGCGUAGGCAGCCACCGCAAGUCGACUGUGAAAUCUCCGGGCUUAACCCGGAAAGGUCAGCCGAUACUGCGGGGCUAGAGUGCAGAAGGGGCAACUGGAAUUCUCGGUGUAGCGGUGAAAUGCGUAGAUAUCGAGAGGAACACCUGCGGCGAAGGCGGGUUGCUGGGCUGACACUGACGCUGAGGCGCGAAAGCUAGGGGAGCGAACGGG
rnacentral:rRNA from 1 species